rnacentral:sRNA from 1 species
GUUUCAAUUCCUCAUAGGCAGGCUAUCGGCGACGCAGACGCGAUUUAUGAACGUGCCUGGUCGGAAG